GUCCAUGCCGUAAACGAUGUCUACUAGCCGUUGGGUCUUUGAGACUUUAGUGGCGCAGCUAACGCGAUAAGUAGACCGCCUGGGAGGUACGGUCGCAAGACUAAAACUACAAAUAGAAUUGACGGGGGCCCGGCACAAGCGGUGGAGCAUGUGGUUUAAUUCGAUGCAACGCGAAGAACCUUACCUGGUCUUGACAUAGUAAGAACUUUCCAGAGAUGGAUUGUGCCUUCGGAGCUUACAUACAGGUGCUGCAUGGCUGUCGU
rnacentral:rRNA from 1 species